rnacentral:rRNA from 1 species
UACGUAGGGCGCAAGCGUUGUCCGGAAUUAUUGGGCGUAAAGAGCUCGUAGGUGGCGUGUCGCGUCUGCCGUGAAAGCCCAUGGCUUAACUGUGGGUCUGCGGUGGAUACGGGCAGACUGGAGUACUGCAGGGGAGACUGGAAUUCCUGGUGUAGCGGUGGAAUGCGCAGAUAUCGAGAGGAACACCUGCGGCGAAGGCGGGUUGCUGGGCUGAUACUGACGCUGAGGCGCGAAAGCCAGGGGAGCGAACGGG